UACGGAGGAUCCAAGCGUUAUCCGGAAUCAUUGGGUUUAAAGGGUCCGUAGGCGGUUUAAUAAGUCAGUGGUGAAAGCCCAUCGCUCAACGGUGGAACGGCCAUUGAUACUGUUAGACUUGAAUUAUUAGGAAGUAACUAGAAUAUGUAGUGCAGCGGUGAAAUGCUUAGAGAUUACAUGGAAUACCAAUUGCGAAGGCAGGUUACUACUAAUGGAUUGACGCUGAUGGACGAAAGCGUGGGUAGCGAACAGG
rnacentral:rRNA from 1 species